CAGCCGCCGCGGUAAUACCGGCGGCCCGAGUGGCGGUCACUAUUAUUGGGCUUAAAGCGUCCGUAGCCGGGUUGGGAAGUCCUCCGGGAAAUCUGGCCGCUUAACGGUCAGAAUGCCGGAGGAUACUCCCAGCCUAGGGAGCGGGAGAGGCCGAGGGGAUUCCCGGGGUGGGGGUGAAAUCCUAUAAUCCCGGGAGGACCACCUGUGGCGAAGGCGCUCGGCUGGAACGCGUCCGACGGUGAGGGACGAAGGCCAGGGGAGCAAACCGGAUUAGAUACCCGGGUAGUCCUGGCUGUAAACGAUGCGGACUUUGUGUCGGACAAGCUAUGAGCUUGUCCGGUGCCGGAGGGAAACCGUUAAGUCCGCCGCCUGGGGAGUACGGCCGCAAGGCUGAAACUUAAAGGAAUUGGCGGG
rnacentral:rRNA from 1 species